rnacentral:piRNA from 1 species
UAGAAGAGGUUAAUGGUAAUAGGAUGAUGU